CCCUAGCCCUGAUUGAAGUGGAAAUCCUUUUUUUGGAUUCGCUGUAACGCAGUGGAAGCAAAUCCAAAAGCGCAGCGAAAAAGAUUGAAACGGAAAGCAGGAAAUAGC
rnacentral:sRNA from 1 species